UACGUAGGGUGCGAGCGUUGUCCGGAAUUAUUGGGCGUAAAGAGCUCGUAGGCGGUGUGUCGCGUCGGCCGUGAAAACCUGCAGCUUAACUGUGGGCUUGCGGUCGAUACGGGCAUCACUGGAGUUCGGCAGGGGAGACUGGAAUUCCUGGUGUAGCGGUGGAAUGCGCAGAUAUCAGGAAGAACACCCGUGGCGAAGGCGGCUCUCUGGGACGGUACUGACGCUGAGACGCGAAAGCGUGGGGAGCGAACAGG
rnacentral:rRNA from 1 species